GUUCCCAACUCAAUCCAAAGUUUGUACAUUUGAAUAACCAAUACUUACAGCUAAUGAAUAUUCUACUCUAAUAAUGCAGCAGUCAAGUAUAGAAGGGGAUACAGGUGGGAUUUUCAGAGUUUUCCCAUUCCAGGUAUCUGUACUCCCAGAGGCAAUGUGGUUUCCUCGGACAUUGGCAACCAUCUGACGGAAGGUUUUUGUCUUCCCACUGGCCAGCUGGCUUUGAAGGGGGAGGAGGAGCGGAGGAAGGACCCUCUUACCAAGAGAGCUGGUGAGCUGACGUCGAUAUGGCUGAUGACCUGGAGCUCUGUCUGCACGCUCUGAUCGGGAGCUGCAGGCCUCUCCAGGAUGGCUUUCACAUAGUACUGAAUACUGCCAUACUUCCCAGUAAAAGAGGUCACCAGAGGCCUGAAACAAGCAGUCACAAAACCAUUACCCUUAAUUAAUAAUUCAGUUCCAAACGUGAGCACUUCCCGCGUACACGAACAUUUAACCAAUUUACAGCUCAUACUUUUAGGGCCUGGGGGAAACUGAAGCCAACAAGGCCUGUCUGUGGGGUCUGAUUAAGAGAAACAUAUAAAGCUGAUACUAAAAAAAACACAAGUCAAAUUACAUUAAGAUAAUGUUGCACUACAAGCAGCGUCCAGCACAAUCCCUUCAGGUUGGAUUAUUUAACUUACUCUUGAGGGAGCUGAAAGCUGAACGGAAAUUCGUGUCUUCCAUCUAGAAGAAUUAAGUUUUCCUCACCUGUAGGAUGAAAAUGAAUAGUAUGUUUUAGUUAUUCCAGAAAUAGAACAAAGCAGAUGCUUUUAUAAGUUAUUUAUGUAUAAGAACACCCAGAUACAAGAAGUUUUUAUUGAUCCCA